rnacentral:rRNA from 1 species
GCAUGCAAGUCGCGCGAAUCCCCCGCAAGGGGGGGAAGCGGCGUAAGGGGCAGUAGGGCGUGGGCAACCCACCCCCCGGACCGGGAUAGCCCGUCGAGAGACGGGGUAAUACCGGGCGAAACCUCCCUGGGGCAUCCCGGGGAGGUCAGAGGUCCGCCGCCGGGGGCGGGGCCCACGUGGUAUCAGCUAGUCGGUGGGGUGACGGCCCACCGAGGCGUAGACGCCUAGCGGGUGUGAGAGCACGACCCGCGCCACUGGCACUGAGACACUGGCCAGACACCUACGGGUGGCUGCAGUCGAGGAUCUUCGGCAAUGGGGGCAACCCUGACCGAGCGACGCCGCGUGGGCGACGAAGGCCUUCGGGUUGUAAAGCCCUGUCGAGGGGGAGGAAACCGCGCAAGCGGGUGACCCAUCCCUGGAGGAAGCACGGGCUAAGUUCGUGCCAGCAGCCGCGGUAAGACGAACCGUGCGAACGUUGUUCGGAAUCACUGGGCUUAAAGGGCGCGUAGGCGGGCUGCCGCGUCCGGGGUGAAAUCCUCCGGCUCAACCGGAGAACGGCCUCGGAUACGGGCGGCCUCGAGUCGGGUAGGGGCGGGCGGAACUCUGGGUGGAGCGGUGAAAUGCGUUGAUAUCCAGAGGAACUCCGGUGGCGAAGGCGGCCCGCUGGACCCGGUCUGACGCUGAGGCGCGAAAGCCAGGGGAGCGAACGGGAUUAGAUACCCCGGUAGUCCUGGCCCUAAACGUUGGGGACUAGGUAGCCGGCCUGACAUGGGCUGGCUGCCGGAGCCAAAGUGCUAAGUCCCCCGCCUGGGGAGUACGGCCGCAAGGCUGAAACUCAAAGGAAUUGACGGGGGCUCACACAAGCGGUGGAGCAUGUGGCUUAAUUCGAGGCUACGCGAAGAACCUUAUCCCGGGCUUGACAUGCGCGAAAGCGCCUGGGGGUACCCGCCGGAAACGGCCGGGGAAGGUAUCCAAUCCUGAACCAGGCACAGGUGCUGCAUGGCUGUCGUCAGCUCGUGUCGUGAGAUGUCGGGUUAAGUCCCAUAACGAGCGAAACCCCUGCCCCCAGUUGCCAGCACGUCGUGGUGGGGACUCUGGGGGGACUGCCGGUGUCAAACCGGAGGAGGGUGGGGAUGACGUCAAGUCCUCAUGGCCUUUAUGCCCGGGGCUGCACACGUGCUACAAUGGCCGGGACAGAGGGAUGCGACACUGCGAAGUGAAGCCGACCCCGGAAACCCGGCCCCAGUUCGGACCGCGGGCUGCAACCCGCCCGCGCGAAGCCGGAAUCGCUAGUAAUCGCGGGUCAGCAACACCGCGGUGAAUGUGUUCCUGAGCCUUGUACACACCGCCCGUCAAGCCACGAAAGGGGGGGACGGCCGAAGUCACCUUCGCCGGUGCCG